GGCGGUAUUGGUGAAGUGGUUAACACAUCGGUUUGUGGAUCCGACACACGUGGGUUCGAUUCCCACAUACCGCCU
rnacentral:tRNA from 4 species